rnacentral:misc_RNA from 1 species
AAGUCGUAACAAGGUUUCCGUAGGUUGAAUCCUUGCGGAAGGAUCAUUACCUUUCUGGCUAUUUAAUACGCUUGUCAUGGGGGCUGCAGUUUCUGCAGUCUGCUGACUACAUCCGUGUUUUUGCGUACUAUAUGUUACCUCGGCGGGGCUUGCUUGCCGGUUGGACAAACUAAACUCUUUGCAAUUGCAAUCAGCGUCUGAAUUAUAUAAUAAUUACAA